UUGUGAGAUGAUUUUAAUUAAAAUUGUCUUGCAAAUAUUAAUCCGCUGGCCUCGCAAGGGGCUGGUUGAUAUAUAAAUGUGUGUAGUGUUGACAGUGUGUGAUAUUUAAUUAAUUAUUGACAACUUUUAACAAUGGAUCUCUAGGCUCUUGCAUCGAUGAAGAACGCAGCAAAAUGCGAAACGUGAUGCGAUUUGCAUGAAUCUGUGAGUCAUCUAAUCUUUGAACGCGAAUGGCACUGUUACGUAAGUAGCAGUAUGUCUGUUUGAGAAUCGCAAAACACGAUCAACUCUAGUUAGAGUUGGGAUUGACCUCAUGCGCUGUUUAUAGCUGCAUUUGGUUUGAAUGAAUCAAGUUGAUGGGUUCCCCAGCAAUUCUCAAUGUGUGCUAGCGAGACAGUCGUCCCGAUCUCACAUUAGUGGUUUUGUUGCAGAUCUCUAAUCACGGCUUGUUUAAAUUUUUCCAUCUAUUACGAUCUCAAAUCAGGCAAGAUUACCCGCUGAACUUAAGCAUAUCAAUAAGCGGAGGAAAAGAAACUAACAAGGAUUCCCCUAGUAACGGCGAGUGAAGCGGGAAUAGCUCAAAUUUAAAAUCUGGCGUAAAAGCCCGAAUUGUAAACUAAAGAGGCGUUAUCGGACAUGAAUCUGUUGUACAAGUUCCCUGGAAUGGGACAUCACAGAGGGUGAGAAUCCCGUCUGGACAAUGGAUAAGUGGCCAUAUGAGGCGUUCUC
rnacentral:rRNA from 1 species